UUUGCAGCCGCCUCUAAUUCGCUUGGUGCAGGUCGGGACUCAUUCUCUAGUGCCGGCGCCGGCACCGGCGCCGGCAAUGACGACGGUCUGCGGCGGAGACUACGGCGGCGACGUUAUUGCGGAGGAAUUUGAGUCCUGCCUUGCAUCAACUGAAUUGGAGACCGCUGUGAAU
rnacentral:pre_miRNA from 1 species